UACGAAGGGGGCUAGCGUUACUCGGAUUUACUGGGCGUAAAGGGCGCGUAGGCGGUUUGUUCAGUCAGACGUGAAAUUCCUGGGCUCAACCUGGGGGCUGCGUUUGAUACGUGCAGACUUGAGUUCGGAAGAGGGUCGUGGAAUUCCCAGUGUAGAGGUGAAAUUCGUAGAUAUUGGGAAGAACACCGGUGGCGAAGGCGGCGACCUGGUCCGAAACUGACGCUGAGGCGCGAAAGCGUGGGGAGCAAACAGG
rnacentral:rRNA from 1 species